GUGAUGUCAUCUGGCCUUGUGGCACAAUCUAGGUGCCAAGGACUUCUAACUUAAUAUAUCAAGUCCAGAUUACCGCCCUGAGCUUCAGACCCACAUACCCAACACCCAGUCAGUGUGGAACAGGCAUCUGAACAAAACGUAGAGAAAUUAAUGGGCAGAAAGAAGUUUCUUGCCGAGGCAGUAGCAGGAUGCUCAGCUCCCGCGCUCUUAUCCAGCUGUCUGGACCGCACCUGAGGACAGUUGAGAGAGCUCCUGCAGAAUAUCACUGCAGCAAGCCCUCACCACUUUUCUCUGACCUGCCUACCUUGAAAGGGCAUCAGGAAGGAAAUCCCUAGGAUGCUGCAUGUUUCCCAGGCGAAAGUGAAUUCAUUUCAUUGCAAUUUGGAGUGGAAGCUGGCCUUGUUGUUUAUCUGGGGGCCCCUCCAGAAUCCUCCAUUCCAACAACUCCUGGAUUUGAUGGCGAGGAUACUUUUGGCAACAGGAAAAGGCACUGAAUACCCAAGACCUAAUUCUUGUUUUGAAAAUUGCAUCUUCCGGAACAGCCAAUUUCAGCAUUGUCCUCCAGACAACAGAUACAAAAAAAAAAAGCUUAUUACCUCGUGAUGGUUAAUAUGUAAUAGUCCAAUGACCUACUUUAGGCAAGUCUAAAUGGUUACAUCACAAGCCACAGACUGAAGUAACUAUAUUUAACCCAGUAUUCUGAGAAAGAGGAACCAGGAACUACUCUCUGGAAUAGGCCCUAUAAAGGCUAUGUGGUUCAUCUGCAAGUUUUUUCAACUUGCCAUAAAUUUCAGAAAAAAAUUCCAAAUAUUUAUUGGAAAAAAUCCACAUAUGAGUGGACCCACACAGUUCAAAUCCAUGUUGUUCAAGAGUCAGCUAUAUACACAUGUUGUAAGCAGCAAAAGGAAAGUAAUACGGUGGAUGAGUUAAUACGCGAAUGAGUUUGUCAACCUUUCCAGCAGUUGAACAUUUCUCUCCUCUCUCCUCCUUGUCUCUGCAUCAAGUGCCUAAUAAUAAUUAAAAUGGAGAGAACUGCAAAAUACAAAGGGACUCAGGUGAGUAAUACUUUUAAGGGAAGACUUGUAAAGGGAAAACUGUGAGCUAAACAAUCAUCUGCAGUCUAUCAAGUCAGCUUGUCUGCAGUGUGGGCUUACCGGUCUUCUCGGGAGGGGAGAGAUUCAGAGUGGGAGGGACCAGCUCAGGGACUUGACUGCCUAGGGUGUAUGGUUCCUUGGGGGCCAUCUUUGGAGAUUAGCUACUUUACUGGGUUUAAAUUUUAAAGAUGAGCAGAUUAACAUGAUAGAGACUUCAAGCUUCAUAAUUGUGGUAGAGUGGUAGAGUGGUUUCUCUGGGUCUGGAACCAAAAUUACAACACUUCACACAUCGGAUGGAAUACAAAGUCAAAGACGUAAGACACAGAUGUCUUAUAUGGAGCCCCCUUGCUUGCCCAGUUCAACCCCUAAGAAAGAAAUGCAUUCAUGGAGAUGCUUCAGGUUUUAUCUAGCCUUGCAUAAUUCCAAAUAUAUAGCUAUUUUUUCCAACCAUUUCUCAAGUUCUCCUGGUCAGAGAACACACAGUCACACUUGUGUCUAUGUUUGCACACACAGGGAGCUGGUUUCCUGGAGAAGGAGAGAAUUACUCUUUAGGAGGUAGAAUGUCUUAGUUGUCCAGAGGCUUAGGUUCUGACACAGACUACCCAGUUCAAAUUCUUCUUGAGCCACUUCCUAGCCAUGACCUAGAAUAAGCAGAUAACUUUUCCAUGCCUUUUGUUUCUUCAGCUCAAAAAUUGGGCUAAUAUGAGCAUUUACCACAGAGAACUGUUACAGGGAAGAAAGGAGAUAAUUUUGUAGAUUUAUGCAAAGUGCUUAGUUUAGUGACUGGCACAGAGAAAGCACCUCAUGAAUAUUAGUUAGUAGUAGUACUAGUAUUAGUAAACUCUGAUGUUAAAGUGAAAACUAAGUUUAAUUUUCCAGAUAAUUACUGCAGUUUUUUAUUCUUCGUGGCAGAAUAACCAUUUCGGAGCUUAAAGACAGUUAAACCUGAGCAGGAACCGGAGAUGCAGUUAUUUUUCCAGCUCAGUAUUGUGGCAGAGGCACCGGUGAUCGGUAGCCCUUGUGGCAUCAGUGAUCUCUCGCCUUGCUGGGGUUAAGAGAGACAAACCGUUGCCUUCACAGGUGCUCUGAAUCCAAACGUUUGUGACAUUAAAACCAGCAUCCAUGUGUGAGCACAGACUAAAAUGUGCUGUGUCACCAGCAAGCCCAUACUUGCAGUCUCUUAAAUCACCCAAAUCAUAUUUCUUCACUCCUGCUUAUGUGCAACCCAAGAAGCAGGGGUCUCUGCUCACUGUGAUAUUGUGAUCCCCCAGACCCCAGAAUGAUAGAGCAGCCACCAUCACAGAUGUUCCCGGUCCCGGUGCCAGAGAGCGGGCAAGCGUGUAGUAGACAGUGCACUGACUCUUCAAGUGUCCACCAGGAGGGACAUGUAUCGCUUCCAGUUGUAUUUCAUUGGCCAGAAAAAGAAAAGUUAUCUGGCCACUCCUAAGUGCAAAUAGGAUGGGAAGUCCAAUUCUACCAUUCUCAGAAGGGGGAAAGCCAGGAAUAUAUGGGAAUCAGCAUCAAUGAAAAACGUACCAUGAAAGGCAAUGCUGGACACUUUUAGAGAUGCAGGAAUAAACAAAACCUAGUACCCUUCUCAGGAUCCUGGCAGUUGGGAAGGUAAUCUGGGGCAGGUGCAUGCAUGACUUUAAAACAAACCAGCCGUUGUUAUGAUUUUACAUGGGAAAAAUAAACCAAAAACCAAAGUCAUCUGUCGCAGGCAUUCUCCACCAGGAGAAAAUUUUCCCCCAGGGGAUAUUUCUAGUUGUCACAUUUUAGCUACUGGCAAUACCUAGUGAGGCCAGGGAGGCUGCUAAAUACCCUACAAGUCACAGGACAGCUCCGCACAGAAAAGAAUUAUCUGGUCCCCAACGUCAAUAGUGGUGAGGUAGAGAAACUGGAUUAUUAUAAUCUAUACACUUUCUCACGCACACUCCUAAAUCCACUGAAAAGAAAUUUGAAGUAUCUGCAAUUGAGACUUUAUAUACAGAUGUAUAAAUGCUCAUGACAGGGAGCCCAAGGGUGCUCUACCACUGCACAUUUCAUGUUCAGGUGUCUGGUACUUGAUUCAGAAUACGGUGCAUCCAGCUUGAGAUCCACCUGAGAGAAUCAACUGUAUUUUCAAUUGUUUUUCAAGAAGACUUGGGAAAUCCAAUUUUAAACAUUGCUUUUCAAAACAGACAGUUCCACAAAUUUAUCUGCCAGUUUGAUGAAGCAAAGUUUAGUCCCAAUGGAAAAUAAAAAGGUGGCAUGACAUAAUUAGAUGCUGACUAUGGAUAAUAAGCUUUAUAUGAGGGCUUCAGUGAGCCCUUCUUGACAAGAGCACCUCUGUCUCAGAAUAAUCUACUGUGACCAUAACCGGAGCAGACAGGAAAUGAUUGGAUGGUAAGCGACCAAGGAAAGGGUUGUGUUAAAGCCUAGAGGUACUAAAUGAGUUUGUGAGACAGGUUUGUCAGACACAGAUGAAUGCAGAAGCGAGAGGCAUGUGGAAGGAAUUCUUUAUCCUGAAAGGUGGGAAGCUAAUAAGUAAACUACACUGAAGGAAUUUGACCUUCCAGCAUCAACUUGUGUUUGAAUUUGGGUUUAAAGUUAGUUCCUGUGUGGUAAGUUUUGUUUCCUAGCCUGAGCAUCAAGCCUGGGGCUUGCAGAAUGACUGGCUCCAGAGGAACAAUGUGAUGCCUGGAAAGAAUAUUUGUGGGUCCUUAAUCUAUGAAUCAAAAGGCAAACUCUGCCCCCGCAGUUUGUUAAUCCAGGUGGCUGAGAGGGAGCCAAUAUAAUCACUUACAAGAAUGCACCCAGUUUGGGCUCAUUUUAAGAAAGCCUCAACUAUGUUUGGAAUGUACCAGAUCAAUAAACUGCUAAUUUUUACAUCUGUUAGCCCACUGAUUCCUCAGUGGGUUGAAGCUUGUAGUACAAAUACAGUCCAAGCAGUUUCUUAAUUAGACAGGCUUCAACAGGUCAAAGGAGCAUGCUUAGGCCCAGUUUGGAAUUCUUUUAUUUACUCAGUUCCUGCUGUCAUGGGGAAAUGCAAUUGCUAUGCAAAUUCUUCAAAAAAAAAUGGAUCCCUCUCACACCUGACCUUGGUAAAUACCAGCCAUUUCUUCCUUUCAUAUUCUGGGCUCUGUUUAUUAAGUAAAUAUCUUGUUCUAAGAGAAUACAGGCUCCAGUCUUUAGGAGGGAUGGAUCAUGAGACUUGCAACUAAUUUUCAAAUGGUUUUGCGCAAGUAAUACAUAUAAAACUCUGCACACACAUAAGAAUAAAGCAAAAGUGGCCAAAAAUUAACCUUUUGGCAAACUGAAGUAAAGAGUUGAGAGGAAUUCACUGUACCACUCUUACAGGUAUAAACUUUUUCAAAUGAAAAAGUUAAACAAAAACAUUUUAUGUCAUUACUUACACAUUAUUUUACGUUUUUUUUCUCACUGCGUCUUCACAGG